ACCUCGCCGCUCCAGUACCAACUGCCCGACCAGGUGUUGCUAACCAUAUUCGGCUACUUGCUGUCGGUUUCAGGGCAUCAGCUCUGUUGGGGCAAACUGAGCCGCUUCGGCGAGCGGGCCAAUAAUUUCAACAUUGUUUCAAUUCCAAGUUGAUUGUUUUGAAUUAAUAUAGUCUACUGUUACAGAGAGACUAUGCCUUUUGAAAAUAUAAACGGUUACCUGAUAAGUACCUUAAUUUGUGUUAUGAAAUAUGAUUGAUAUCCAACUAUUUAAUAAAUUUCUCAAUUUGAAAGAUUCAAAUGAUAUUAUUUCGAUUAUUUACUUGCCCACCAAGUGCAGUUUUCUCGGUGAAAGCUUAAACCGAAUUGGAUCAGCUGGUGUGUUUUAAUAUCAAUUAAACUUAACAUGGAUUUAAUUCAUAUUAAGCCGACAUUUGGUUCAAACUGGUACUGUGAAAACGGCUUUUAAAUCGUUAGAAUUAUUCAAGUAAUUAGUAUGGUGAUUAUUAUCAUAGAAAAAAUAUAUCAUAAGAAGAUAACCCUAUGGUAUAGAUUGUUUAUGUUUCAUUGUGCGUUUUAAAACAGUAAAGAAAAAAGUAUCUCAGGUUUGGCUGAAAUUUGCACCAUAGAUGAAGCUUUAUCUGAGAAAUGUCUGAGCCAAAUUUGGCACCCCCAGCUACUAUACAGGGUGAGUUAUGCAGCUUCAAACGUAAAAUUUGCAAAUUUUCAAACGGUGAGGAAUUUUGCAAAUCGGAUUCCAGAUUCAUGUUCCUCUCAUCAAAGAGCAUAAGGUCACGAAGUUAGAGCGAUUUUGAUUUUUCACAAAAAAAUUAGAUAAACCAUGGAUUUUAUGAAAAAUGCGAAUGUGCCAGAUUCGGUUGAUAUUCGAACUAUGGAAAGAGGUUGACUCAACAAGUGAUAGAUAAAUGUCUUUUAUUUUCAUUUUAUAACAUUACAAAUGAUGUGGGCGAAGUUGAGGCAAUAAGAGCCCCCCUCUUCCACUUGACCCACAAGUAUGGGUCUGUUUGUGUAAAUGGCAGAAGAUAAGAAAAGAUUCAUUGAACAAUUGACAAGUUUACUUGAUAGAAUACUUGACAAUUAUAUAGUCUAAAAUAAGAACUUAGUCAAAAAUAACAGAUUAAACUAGCUGACGUACAAACAACUCUAAAGUAAUUUUUCACUAAGUUACCAAGAGGGAUUAUUAACUAUGGAAUGAGAAAGAAAUCAAUAAAAAUGCUUACUUUCUUGAUCAGAUUUAUUAUAGUUUUUAGUAUAAAAGAUUUUUUUUCAAAGAGCAAAGAAUAAAGAGUUAACCUGAUUUCAAAAUCUCAGUCCAAGUAAACUGAAGAUCAGUAGUAAAUUAUACAAGAAAAUUUACAAUAAUCAAAAAUAUAAUAGCUGUAAAUUCUGCUCAAAAUAAGAUCUAGUUGCACGAAAUUUGUUUAAUAACUGAUUAAAUUAUUAGAUUUUUCUGUAUUAGCUGUUAUGCUACUAUAGCGGUGACUGAGGACUCUAUAGAUUUGUUUCUAUAAGUAUUUCAGAAGAAGUUGCUGUUGUGGGCUGUACAACUCGCUUUCCUGAUAGAUUUCCCUUUAAGAAUCUGAUCUGUUUCAUUUUCAUGAUGGCCUAUGGGCUAUGUGAGAUAAUGGGAUGAUGUUCCAGUAAUUUAACCAUAACUAUUGAACGGUUCAUCAGAGCCUUAUUUUGUAGCAAACGUUGUUGUAGAAUAUAACAUUUUUCUCAUCAUCAUAUACCGUAGUUGAAAAUUUUGUCACUGCAAUUAAUAAAUUCAAACUGAGAGAUUUAAUGCUUCAAAAAAAGCAGGACCGCAUCUCUAGUAGAAUUUUCCCUAGUUUUUAUAUCUCUAACUUUUGUUAGCUUCAUAGUAGCUUUGUACGCAUGAGGACCUUUUUUGUAUAAUAUCAAAUUGACUGUUGAGUAACAAGUUCUAAUUACUAACUAAAGUCAAGAGUAAAGAGCUAUUUUAUUCGAUUUUCAAUAUAAUCAUUAUAUACCGUAGUUAGUAGGUAUAGCAUAAAGUUUACUUUAGUUCUGUUCAUAGAUAGCAUACAGCUUUUGAAUUUGCCGGUUGAUAACCUAGUUUGAAUUUGCCGGUGAGCCAACAUGAUAAUGAUGUUUCAAAACCUUUUGAAUAAUAUAGAAUGAAGAGUGAAUCUUUUUAUGAAUAAUUCUUUCAAACGUAAUAAAGACAUUAAUCUAUAGUUAUAAAAUUCCUUAUCUAUAAAAAAUCAUUUGAGAACCAUUGAAUGUCGAUAUUUUUUCCAAAUGUUUCAAUCAAAAGUACUUAUAUAUAUUCCCAACUUUUCAAUGAAUAAUGGUAUAAAUCAACUAGAAAAUAUAUUUGAAACUUUUAAAAUAAUUAUUUGAAUAUCAUAAUUCUAAUUUGAUGAUAGAUAUACUUAAUUAUUUUCUAUUAUUUUUUUGCGUUGUGUAGUGGUACGGCUGGCUACCUGCUGUUGAAGCUAAUCAGCUGUUUGAUGUUCAUUAUUUUUUUCAACUAUGAAUUGCGUUAAUAGUGCUUCCAAUAAACAGGAUAAUUUGAUACAUCAGAGAAAUAAUUUAAAUAUUUUAUUUGAACGUAUCAAUUGUUAAUACAUAAUUAUUUUUUCAUUAUUAUUUUGCGGUGUGUAGUGGUACAGCUGGUUACCAAAAUCCGUCUCCAUCGAGGUCAGUUACGUUGCAAGCACGCGUUGCAUUUUUACCUCCUGUGUUCUUCUGAAACCCUGUUGCUUGGUAUGGAUUGUAAGACACAGAAGAAGACGCAUUUAGAUGUUUUUGGAUCUUGAAUCUUGAUGCUCACAGAAAAGCAAGUCAACCAGACAGGCUCUGAAAAUUGAUGAAAUGGAACAAAUUAUUUGGACAAGACACUAGAAAAAUUCUACUCGGUCGGUUUUGAAAUCAUACCUCAAGAAACUUGCGGGAUCUUCGUCUGCACUGCACUAGCAUUUCAGGGUUUGUUGGAGGCGAACGACAUCCACAACAAUGGGAUAGCGGGGUUCGGGCGCCAACCCGACAGUGACAGUGGUGCACUGCGAGAUCCACCACGGACAGACGGGUGGCUUGUACGGGCUCGGCCAGUUCAUCGACAACCGCAUCCAUUCCCACAGCAACCCCACCGCAACGAGAUCUACAACGGCCAUCAGGGUGGCGUCUUCAUCUUGGGCGAAGGCCGCGGCUUGAUCGAGCAUAACAAUAUCUAUGUGACUCAAUGUGGAUUGUGAAGACACAGAAGGGGACGCAUUUGGAUCUUGAAUCAUGAAUGUUGAAUCUUGAUGCUCACAGAAAAGGAAGUCAACCAGACAGGCUCUGGAAAUUGAUGAAAUGGAACAAAUUAUUUGGACAAGACACUAGAAAAAUUCUACUCGGUCGGUUUUGUAAUCAUACCUCAAGAUACUUGCGAGAUCUUCGUCUGCACUGCACUAGCAUUUCAGUCGUCGCCGCCGCACCACGAUCACUCGGCGGCAUCCACAUCUAGUGGUGGUGGAUCUACAUGCAAGGAGCAUGCGCACUACCACUGGAUGUGGAUGCUGGAUGAGUUGGGCAACCUCGGCCGCUCCAGUACCAACUGCCCGACCAGGUGUUGCUAACCAUAUUCGGCUACUUGCUGUCGGUUUCAGGGCAUCAGCUCUGUUGGGGCAAACUGAGCCGCUUCGGCGAGCGGGCCAAUAAUUUCAACAUUGUUUCAAUUCCAAGUUGAUUGUUUUGAAUUAAUAUAGUCUACUGUUACAGAGAGACUAUGCCUUUUGAAAAUAUAAACGGUUACCUGAUAAGUACCUUAAUUUGUGUUAUGAAAUAUGAUUGAUAUCCAACUAUUUAAUAAAUUUCUCAAUUUGAAAGAUUCAAAUGAUAUUAUUUCGAUUAUUUACUUGCCCACCAAGUGCAGUUUUCUCGGUGAAAGCUUAAACCGAAUUGGAUCAGCUGGUGUGUUUUAAUAUCAAUUAAACUUAACAUGGAUUUAAUUCAUAUUAAGCCGACAUUUGGUUCAAACUGGUACUGUGAAAACGGCUUUUAAAUCGUUAGAAUUAUUCAAGUAAUUAGUAUGGUGAUUAUUAUCAUAGAAAAAAUAUAUCAUAAGAAGAUAACCCUAUGGUAUAGAUUGUUUAUGUUUCAUUGUGCGUUUUAAAACAGUAAAGAAAAAAGUAUCUCAGGUUUGGCUGAAAUUUGCACCAUAGAUGAAGCUUUAUCUGAGAAAUGUCUGAGCCAAAUUUGGCACCCCCAGCUACUAUACAGGGUGAGUUAUGCAGCUUCAAACGUAAAAUUUGCAAAUUUUCAAACGGUGAGGAAUUUUGCAAAUCGGAUUCCAGAUUCAUGUUCCUCUCAUCAAAGAGCAUAAGGUCACGAAGUUAGAGCGAUUUUGAUUUUUCACAAAAAAAAUUAGAUAAACCAUGGAUUUUAUGAAAAAUGCGAAUGUGCCAGAUUCGGUUGAUAUUCGAACUAUGGAAAGAGGUUGACUCAACAAGUGAUAGAUAAAUGUCUUUUAUUUUCAUUUUAUAACAUUACAAAUGAUGUGGGCGAAGUUGAGGCAAUAAGAGCCCCCCUCUUCCACUUGACCCACAAGUAUGGGUCUGUUUGUGUAAAUGGCAGAAGAUAAGAAAAGAUUCAUUGAACAAUUGACAAGUUUACUUGAUAGAAUACUUGACAAUUAUAUAGUCUAAAAUAAGAACUUAGUCAAAAAUAACAGAUUAAACUAGCUGACGUACAAACAACUCUAAAGUAAUUUUUCACUAAGUUACCAAGAGGGAUUAUUAACUAUGGAAUGAGAAAGAAAUCAAUAAAAAUGCUUACUUUCUUAAUCAGAUUUAUUAUAGUUUUUAGUAUAAAAGAUUUUUUUUUCAAAGAGCAAAGAAUAAAGAGUUAACCUGAUUUCAAAAUCUCAGUCCAAGUAAACUGAAGAUCAGUAGUAAAUUAUACAAGAAAAUUUACAAUAAUCAAAAAUAUAAUAGCUGUAAAUUCUGCUCAAAAUAAGAUCUAGUUGCACGAAAUUUGUUUAAUAACUGAUUAAAUUAUUAGAUUUUUCUGUAUUAGCUGUUAUGCUACUAUAGCGGUGACUGAGGACUCUAUAGAUUUGUUUCUAUAAGUAUUUCAGAAGAAGUUGCUGUUGUGGGCUGUACAACUCGCUUUCCUGAUAGAUUUCCCUUUAAGAAUCUGAUCUGUUUCAUUUUCAUGAUGGCCUAUGGGCUAUGUGAGAUAAUGGGAUGAUGUUCCAGUAAUUUAACCAUAACUAUUGAACGGUUCAUCAGAGCCUUAUUUUGUAGCAAACGUUGUUGUAGAAUAUAACAUUUUUCUCAUCAUCAUAUACCGUAGUUGAAAAUUUUGUCACUGCAAUUAAUAAAUUCAAACUGAGAGAUUUAAUGCUUCAAAAAAAGCAGGACCGCAUCUCUAGUAGAAUUUUCCCUAGUUUUUAUAUCUCUAACUUUUGUUAGCUUCAUAGUAGCUUUGUACGCAUGAGGACCUUUUUUGUAUAAUAUCAAAUUGACUGUUGAGUAACAAGUUCUAAUUACUAACUAAAGUCAAGAGUAAAGAGCUAUUUUAUUCGAUUUUGAAUAUAAUCAUUAUAUACCGUAGUUAGUAGUUAUAGCAUAAAGUUUACUUUAGUUCUGUUCAUAGAUAGCAUACAGCUUUUGAAUUUGCCGGUUGAUAACCUAGUUUGAAUUUGCCGGUGAGCCAACAUGAUAAUGAUGUUUCAAAACCUUUUGAAUAAUAUAGAAUGAAGAGUGAAUCUUUUUAUGAAUAAUUCUUUCAAACGUAAUAAAGACAUUAAUCUAUAGUUAUAAAAUUCCUUAUCUAUAAAAAAUCAUUUGAGAACCAUUGAAUGUCGAUAUUUUUUCCAAAUGUUUCAAUCAAAAGUACUUAUAUAUAUUCCCAACUUUUCAAUGAAUAAUGGUAUAAAUCAACUAGAAAAUAUAUUUGAAACUUUUAAAAUAAUUAUUUGAAUAUCAUAAUUCUAAUUUGAUGAUAGAUAUACUUAAUUAUUUUCUAUUAUUUUUUUGCGUUGUGUAGUGGUACGGCUGGCUACCUGCUGUUCAAGCUAAUCAGCUGUUUGAUGUUCAUUAUUUUUUUCAACUAUGAAUUGCGUUAAUAGUGCUUCCAAUAAACAGGAUAAUUUGAUACAUCAGAGAAAUAAUUUAAAUAUUUUAUUUGAACGUAUCAAUUGUUAAUACAUAAUUAUUUUUUCAUUAUUAUUUUGCGGUGUGUAGUGGUACAGCUGGUUACCAAAAUCCGUCUCCAUCGAGUUGCUUGGUAUGGAUUGUAAGACACAGAAGAAGACGCAUUUAGAUGUUUUUGGAUCUUGAAUCUUGAUGCUCACAGAAAAGCAAGUCAACCAGACAGGCUCUGAAAAUUGAUGAAAUGGAACAAAUUAUUUGGACAAGACACUAGAAAAAUUCUACUCGGUCGGUUUUGAAAUCAUACCU